ACUGCUCUCUUUAAAAUCUAUACCGCUCAUCAUUUAAUUCAAUAUAUGGAUUGAACACUGUUAGUUAUGUUUCGAUUUUUGUUAGGGCCAUUGAUUUUCCACGGCUUCUGGAACACUCUUAUCAGCCGCAUGACAUGAUUGUUGAGAACAAGAAGCCAAAAGAGUGUUGUGAAGCAGUUGAUCAUGCUAAGAGAUUGGAGGAGGAUCCAAUGCUUUUGCUUAGAGGGUUAUCAUGCUGUCCAUUUAGAUCUUUAUGGUUUAUGGACUUGGUGCUGGUUGCAUUACCUGAGAUUAGUUCCCACAAUAAGCCUUCUACCAAACUAUUCCUCGGAUAAUUGACUAAGAUGACGUUCUUGCACAACCAAGUUAUUUGAACGAGCCUUCAGUUCUUCACAAUCUUCAGGAUAGAUAUUUACAAGAUAAUACAUACUCCAUAGAAUGGCACGCCCUUUAUUACUUUCUGUCAAUCCGGCAAUAUGUCAAUCCAUUUAAAAAUUUCCAGCUAUAUGGGGAUGAUGCAGCAUACCAUGCAUUGGUAGCAGAGCUGAAGUGGAUCAUAUCGGACAUGACAUUAUGCAAGAGAGAUGUGGGUGUGCCUGCAUUGUGGAGUACCACCACUUGACAUCACAUGAUAUGUCAUCUUCUUACGAGAGCUUGCUAUGGGGAAUGCAGUUUGAUUUUUCGUCUCCACAAAAAGGUGUGAUAUCACAUGAUAUCUCAUCUUCUUGUGUGAUAUUGAUUGUAGUCAGCCAGCACUUGGGCAGAAAGUGGGGAGAAAAAAAGGAAAAAAAAGAAAAAGAAGAAAAAAAGAGAUAGCACAUCUGUGG